rnacentral:rRNA from 1 species
UGCGAGUGAAGCGGCAAAAGCUCAAAUUUGAAAUCUGGCGUCUUUGGGCGUCCGAGUUGUAAUUUGAAGAAGGUAACUUUGGGUUUGGCCCUUGCAUAUGUUCCUUGGAACAGGACGUCAUAGAGGGUGAGAAUCCCGUAUAUGGUGAGGUGCCCAUUCCUUUGUAAAGUGCUUUCGAAGAGUCGAGUUGUUUGGGAAUGCAGCUCUAAGUGGGUGGUAAAUUCCAUCUAAAGCUAAAUAUUGGCGAGAGACCGAUAGCGAACAAGUACAGUGAUGGAAAGAUGAAAAGAACUUUGAAAAGAGAGUGAAAAAGUACGUGAAAUUGUUGAAAGGGAAGGGCUUGAAAUCAGACUUGGUAUUCAGUGAUCAACUGUCUCUUGGGACUGUGCACUCGCUGUUUACUGGGCCAGCAUCGGUUUGAACGGUGAGAUAAUAGCAUUGGAAUGUGGCUCUUCGGAGUGUUAUAGCCUUUGUUGAUAUCACCAGUUUGGACCGAGGACCGCGCUUCGGCUAGGAUGCUGGCGUA